GAUGAAGAACGUAGCGAAAUGCGAUACGUAAUGUGAAUUGCAGAAUUCAGUGAAUCAUCGAAUCUUUGAACGCAUAUUGCGCUCUCUGGUAUUCCGGAGAGCAUGCUUGUUUGAGUAUCAGUAAACACCUCAACUUCCAUAUCUUUUUUGAAAUGGGAGUUGGACUUGAGUGAUCCCAACGCUUUUCCUCACCGAAAAGUGGCGGGUUACUUGAAAUGCAGGUGCAGCUGGACUUUUCUCUGAGCUAUAAGCAUAUCUAUUUAGUCUGCCUAAAAAACAGAUUAUUACCUUUGCUGCAGCUAACAUAAGGAGAUUAGUUCUUGUGCUGACUGAUGCAGGAUUCACAAAGACGGCUUCGGCCGACUUUGUAAACUCGAUCUCAAAUCAAGUAAGACUACCCGCUGAACUUAAGCAUAUCAAUAAGCGGAGGA
rnacentral:misc_RNA from 1 species